rnacentral:rRNA from 1 species
UGGGGGAUAUUGCACAAUGGGGGAAACCCUGAUGCAGCAAUGCCGCGUGAAGGAAGAAGGUCUUCGGAUUGUAAACUUCUGUCCUAUGGGAAGAUAAUGACGGUACCAUAGGAGGAAGCUCCGGCUAACUACGUGCCAGCAGCCGCGGUAAUACGUAGGGAGCAAGCGUUAAUCGGAAUCACUGGGCGUAAAGCGCGCGUAGGCGGCUUUUCAAGUCAGGGGUGAAAUCCCACGGCCCAACCGUGGAACUGCCUUUGAAACUGGGAGGCUUGAGUGUCGGAGAGGGUGGCGGAAUUCCAGGUGUAGGAGUGAAAUCCGUAGAUAUCUGGAGGAACACCGGUGGCGAAGGCGGCCACCUGGACGACAACUGACGCUGAGGUGCGAAAGCGUGGGUAGCAAACA